AUUGAACGCUGGCGGCAGGCCUAACACAUGCCAGUCGAGCGGAUGAAGGGAGCUUGCUCCUGGAUUCAGCGGCGGACGGAUGAGUAAUGCCUAGGAAUCUGCCUGGUAGUGGGGGAUAACGUCCGGAAACGGGCGCUAAUACCGCAUACGUCCUGAGGGAGAAAGUGGGGGAUCUUCGGACCUCACGCUAUCAGAUGAGCCUAGGUCGGAUUAGCUAGUUGGUGGGGUAAAGGCCUACCAAGGCGACGAUCCGUAACUGGUCUGAGAGGAUGAUCAGUCACACUGGAACUGAGACACGGUCCAGACUCCUACGGGAGGCAGCAGUGGGGAAUAUUGGACAAUGGGCGAAAGCCUGAUCCAGCCAUGCCGCGUGUGUGAAGAAGGUCUUCGGAUUGUAAAGCACUUUAAGUUGGGAGGAAGGGCAGUAAGUUAAUACCUUGCUGUUUUGACGUUACCAACAGAAUAAGCACCGGCUAACUUCGUG
rnacentral:rRNA from 1 species